AUCAACGCUGGCGGCGUGCCUAACACCUGCAAGUCGAACGCGAAAGCCCCGCAAGGGGUAAGUAGAGUGGCAAACGGGUGAGUAACACGUGGGUGACCUGCCUUCGAGUGGGGGAUAACGUCCCGAAAGGGACGCUAAUACCGCAUGACAUCCUGCUUUUGAAAAAGCGGAGAUCAAAGCUGGGGAUCGCAAGACCUAGCGCUUGAAGAGGGGCCCGCGCCUGAUUAGCUAGUUGGUGAGGUAACGGCUCACCAAGGCGACGAUCAGUAUCCGGCCUGAGAGGGCGGACGGACACACUGGGACUGAGACACGGCCCAGACUCCUACGGGAGGCAGCAGUGGGGAAUUGUUCGCAAUGGGCGCAAGCCUGACGACGCAACGCCGCGUGGAGGACGAAGAUCUUCGGGUCGUAAACUCCUGUCGAGCGGGACGAACGCUUCGCGGAUGAAUAAUCCGCGGAAUUCACGGUACCGCUAAAGGAAGCCCCGGCUAACUCCGUG
rnacentral:rRNA from 1 species